GGGGUUGUGGCUCAUUGGUAGAGUGCUUGCCUAGCAUGCAUGAGGUACUGGGUUCAAUCCUCAGCAACACAU
rnacentral:tRNA from 1 species